rnacentral:tRNA from 1 species
UGGGGGGUCGAAUAAUCGGAAAUUCGCCAGACUCUGGAUCUGGAGAUCGGGGUUCAAUUCCCUGCCCCCCAG